GUGGGGAAUUUUGGACAAUGGGCGCAAGCCUGAUCCAGCCAUGCCGCGUGCAGGAUGAAGGCCUUCGGGUUGUAAACUGCUUUUGUACGGAACGAAAAGACUCUUUCUAAUAAAGAGGGUCCAUGACGGUACCGUAAGAAUAAGCACCGGCUAACUACGUGCCAGCAGCCGCGGUAAUACGUAGGGUGCAAGCGUUAAUCGGAAUUACUGGGCGUAAAGCGUGCGCAGGCGGUUAUGUAAGACAGAUGUGAAAUCCCCGGGCUCAACCUGGGAACUGCAUUUGUGACUGCAUAGCUAGAGUACGGCAGAGGGGGAUGGAAUUCCGCGUGUAGCAGUGAAAUGCGUAGAUAUGCGGAGGAACACCGAUGGCGAAGGCAAUCCCCUGGGCCUGUACUGACGCUCAUGCACGAAAGCGUGGGGAGCAAACAGGAUUAGAAACCCUAGUAGUCCC
rnacentral:rRNA from 1 species